UGUGAUGAUGUGGAAAAAUGUGAAUAAAUUUAAACCUAAGAGUGCCUAAAUACCAGAGUACACCGGUGAGCGGGAAUGAACCCACUUCACAAGUGACGUUAGAGCAUAAGGAAGUACAAAAGAGUGAAUUAAGAAUCGUACCCUCGAAAUAAUCUCCAAUACUAAGAAUCGCCAUGAAUCUUCGACGAUAAGAAAGCUCAACUAAUAAAACCUGGAGGGUGAAGACAAGACAAAGGUGAAUGGCCCUGUAAUUAAAAUUUUAAUAGAAACCAUAUACAACAUUAUAACCCUUCGCUACAACACCUGUAUAAUUUCCAGAAAAUAUCAUAAAUAUACCACAAGAUAGCGUCUCGUUAGCAAUAUCAAAUAAUCAUGUGAUUAAUAACUCAUACUAGUACAUAAGUUGGAGUCACCUAUGGUGACCUGUACGACUUACCCAUAUCUCAUCACAUAUACUAGUUCAUCACAUAUUUCAUCGCAUAUGCUAGCUUAUCGCAUAUUCAUCACAUAUGCUAGCUUAUUACAUAUUCAUCACUUAUGCUAGCUUAUCACAUAUUCAUCACAUUUGCUAGCUUAUCACAUAUUCAUCACAUAUGCUAGCUUAUCACAUAUUCAUCACAUAUGCUAGCUCAUCACAUAUUCAUCACAUAUGCUAGCUCAUCACAUAUUCAUCACAUAUGUUAGCUUAUCACAUAUUCGUCACAUAUGCUAGCUUAUCACAUAUUUAUCACAUAUGCUAGCUUAUAAGUCGAAGUCACCUCUAGUGACCUGUACGACUUAUCUGUAUCUUCUCAUAUGUCUCAUUAAUCAUUUCUAGCAUAUAAGUCGGAGUCACUUAUAGUGACCUGUACGACUUUAUUUAUAGCUCAUAAAUCAAUCUAACCGAAGUCACCUUAAGUGCCCUAUGCGGCACUAACCCUGCACAUGAGUCGGAACCACUUAUAGUGGUCUGUACAACAGGACUGGGUAUAAGUAAGUACGCUCAAGUGCUACGAUCACGUGAAGACUGUGCGAAUAAUCGCAGGUCAUCUACGAGUCGGAACCACCUAUAGUGGUCUGUACGACAGGACUGUGCACCUACCUUGGAUACAAGGUAAGCAUAUGGUGUGGGAGGUGACAUCACAUGA
rnacentral:lncRNA from 1 species